UAUAGUGACAGAACUAAACUUACUGGGGUGACAUCUUGCAAUAUAUACAAAUCAUUAUGAUUUGAUACAAUAUAUAAAAUCACAUCAUACACUUUUAAUAUAAUAGUGUUUUAUAUUAUAUCUCAAUUUUUUAAGUAAAUUAUGGUACUUUCAAACGGUGACAUAUUAUGCAGCAAAAAAGGGGGGUGAAGGAGAAGUUCUUUCUGUACUGAUUUGGAUGAAAUAAAUCUUCCAAGAUCAGGUAGACAAAGGUGAGGUACAGAACAUCAUGGAGAAGAAGCCACUUUUCUUACACAGCAACGUGCAUGCAACUAGAGAUGAUCAUAGUCAGAAACAAACAAAUACCAUAUCACUUAUACAUGGAAACUGAAAGCAUGACACAAACAAACCUAUCUAUGAAACAGAAUCAUGGACCUAGAGAACAGACGGGUAGUUGCCAAGGGGAAAGGACUGGAGCGGGAGGUUGUGAUUAGCAGAUGUAAGCUUUCAAAUAUAGAACGGAUAAACAACAAGGUCCUACUGUAUAGCACAAGGAACUAUAUAUAAUAUCCUAUGAUAACAUAAUGGACAAGAAUAAAGAAAAUGUGUACAUAUAUACAUAUAUAUAACUGAAUCACUUGGUUGCCCAGCAGAAAUAUACACAGCACUGUAAAUCAACUAUUCUUCCUAUUUUUGUGUGUUUGUGUGGUGUGAUUUAACACAACAGAAGUUUAUUUCUUGUUCCUAAAAUGUCCAUUACAGAUGUGGGGGACUCUCCAGAACAGAAACCUCUCCAGUGUGGGGGGCUCAGUGUUUCCGACUGCUCUGAUCUCAUGCUCCUCUCUCUGGAUGUGUUCACAUGACAGAGGAGGAAGACAGCACUAGAGAGCCCUACACCAACAAAUAAAUGCUCCAGCCACGAAACCCAGGAAACAGAAGGGAAAAAGGAAAAACAGUUGUUUCAAAAAGUACAGGAAGACAGGCUAAAUGUUUUCCUCUUGUCUCAAAUACCAUCGUGGUCUCAACUCCAACUUUUGGACCAAACACCAAGCACCACAUUGGACUCAUACUCACCCCCAUUUCUUCUUCUCGCACCACAUACUGGGCCACUU